GAUGAACGCUGGCGGCGUGCUUAAUACAUGCAAGUCGAACGAAGACAGUAGCAAUAUUGUCUGAGUGGCGAACGGGUGAGUAACGCGUUGGUGACCUGCCUCGAAGAGAGGGAUAACAGUCCGAAAGGAUUGCUAAUACCCCAUGUGGUCGUUUGGAUUAGAUGCCUUAUGACUAAACGGAUUUAUUCGCUUCGAGAGGGGCCUGCGUCCCAUCAGCUAGUUGGUAGGGUAAUGGCCUACCAAGGCGAUGACGGGUAGGGGACCUGAGAGGGUGGCCCCCCACAAUGGAACUGAAACACGGUCCAUACACCUACGGGUGGCAGCAGUAGGGAAUAUUGGUUAAUCUGGGAAACCGGGAACCAGCAACGCCGCGUGCACGAUGAAGGCCUUCGGGUUGUAAAGUGCUUUUUGAAAGGAUGAGGAAGGACAGUACUUUCAGAAUAAGCUUCGGCUAACUACGUGCCAGCAGCCGCUGUAAAAC
rnacentral:rRNA from 1 species